rnacentral:rRNA from 1 species
GGUUGAUCCUGCCAGUAGUGAUAUGCUUGUUUCGAAGAUUAAGCCAUGCAAGUGUUAGUAUAAAUCAAAUGAUGAAACUGCGACAAGCUUAUUAGAACAGUUAGAAUCUACUUGACAAAGAUAUAUAUGGAUAUUUACGGUAAUUCUGUUAAUAAUACAUGCAUCAAGUCAAAUUGACUCGAACUUCAGGAAUUAUCACUCAUUUUAGAGUGAGUGUGGAGUUGUAUUAAAUCACAAAUGUGAUAUGUUAAUCGACUUUCUGACCUAUCAGCUUCAGUUGGUAAGGUAUUGG